GUGAGGAAUAUUGGUCAAUGGGCGAGAGCCUGAACCAGCCAAGUCGCGUGAAGGAAGACGGCCCUACGGGUUGUAAACUUCUUUUGCAAUGGAAUAAAAAGAGUUACGUGUAAUUCAUUGUAUGUACAUUGCGAAUAAGGAUCGGCUAACUCCGUGCCAGCAGCCGCGGUAAUACGGAGGAUCCGAGCGUUAUCCGGAUUUAUUGGGUUUAAAGGGUGCGUAGGCGGAUUGGAAAGUCAGCGGUGAAAGUUUGCAGCUUAACUGUAAAAUUGCCAUUGAAACUGUCAGUCUUGAGUGCAAAUGAGGUAGGCGGAAUGUGUUGUGUAGCGGUGAAAUGCAUAGAUAUAACACAGAACACCAAUUGCGAAGGCAGCUUACUGGGAUGCAACUGACGCUGAGGCACGAAAGCGUGGGGAUCAAACAGGAUUAGAAACCCUAGUAGUCC
rnacentral:rRNA from 1 species